rnacentral:sRNA from 1 species
UACUUGGCGUUAGGGAUUGCAGCGGAAAGCCCGCAGCCUUAGCGAGGACUUGUAGCGGAAAGCCCGACCCGGA